GGGCUGUUAGCUCAACUGGCAGAGCAACUGACUCUUAAUCAGUGGGUUGCAGGUUCGAUUCCUGCACAGCCCACCA
rnacentral:tRNA from 1 species